rnacentral:rRNA from 1 species
UGGUCUAGCCAGUUCAACCGAGCAAAACGAACUUUAGUUUGACCUCCCGAAACUAAGUGAGCUACUUCGAAACAGCUUUUAGAGCCAACCCGUCUCUGUGGCAAAAGAGUGGGAAGAUUUCCAAGUAGCGGUGACAGACCUACCGAACUUAGAGAUAGCUGGUUGCUUAAGAAAAGAAUAUUAGUUCUACCUCAAGCCCCCAAAUUACGCUUAAAAACAUAUAAGACUUGAGAGCUAUUCAAAUAAGGCACAGCUUAUUUGAAACAGGGUACAACCUUAACUAACGGGUAAUAUAAUUUCUCAUUAACAAGUGGGCCUAAAAGCAGCCACCUUUAAAAAAGCGUUAAAGCUUAGUCACCUUUGCUACUUUAAUUCCCAAAACAUUUUAAACCCUUUACCACUAUUAAGUAACUCCAUAAACCUAUGGAAGAUAUUAUGCUAGAACUAGUAACAAGAAAUAGAAUUUCUCCUAAAUGUAAGCUUAAGCCACAAUUGACAAACUACUGGCAAUUAACGGUCAUGAACCCCGUGUACCAACAUAACAAGAAAACCUUACACCCCCUACCGUUAACCUUACACCAGGACAUUUAUGGAAAGAUUAAAAGAGAAAGAAGGAACUCGGCAAAUUUUAACCUCGCCUGUUUACCAAAAACAUCGGCUCUUGCUAAAUCAUAAGAGGUCCAGCCUGCCCAGUGAUUUUAUUCAACGGCCGCGGUACCCUAACCGUGCGAAGGUAGCAUAAUCACUUGUUCUUUAAAUGGGGACUUGUAUCAACGGCAUCACGAGGGUUAUACUGUCUCCUUUCUCCAAUCAGUGAAACUGAUCUCCCCGUGAAGAAGCGGGGAUGCUUAUAUAAGACGAGAAGACCCCAUGGAGCUUUAAACCCAAUUGCACCUCGCCCAUAUUACACCCUCUUAACUAGCGAGUCCUGUCUCUUGGUUUUAGGUUGGGGUGACCACGGAGCACAAAAACACCUCCGAGAUGAAUGGGGCUCCCUUAUCUAAGAGCUACCUCUCUAAGAAUUAGUAUUCUAACAUAAAAUGAUCCGAUUUUCGAUCAACGAACCAAGUUACCCUGGGGAUAACAGCGCAAUCCACUUCAAGAGCCCCUAUCGACAAGUGGGUUUACGACCUCGAUGUUGGAUCAGGGUAUCCCAGCGGUGCAGCA